UCAACCUUAUUAAUAACUCAUACUGUGCAGCCAACCCCACAGGCCUCAUUUUAAUUACAUUUAAAUUCUAGUGAAUAUCCCAAAGUUUCCAAAGACACUAAAUCUGCCCAUUACGUUUUUGGGGAAAUGUGUAUUAAAUAAUGCCCAAGGCAUCUAGAAUAUUUAUGAUUCUGUGUAAUGGUGCAGCCAUAAAAACUUUUCCUGUAGCCUGAAGAAGGUGACACACUGUGUAUGACACAAUCAGUGUAAAAUAAGAUGAUUUUAGUUAUCAAGUAGAUAUAGUGAACAGAUGUAUGUUAAAGGGCUUAAACUAUAAACGUGUCUAAUCUGACAUGCAUUUUUAAUUGAAACUUUAUAACAUUAUUGAGAAAUAGGCUACACAUUUCUUUUCAUUUAUAUCCUAUUGUCUUACUAUUAUAUUAUGACAACGGCAUAUUUCACAGUGCUCAUCUUGAUAGUGUGCACUCCAGAAGAAAUUCUGACCUUUUAAUGACUGACUUAUCACUGUAAAGUAAAGUACAUUUGCAGCUUUAUAAUUGUGUGGCAAAAAAUUGUAUACAAUAAAAAUAUGUG